UAAUCUGUUUGUGGUAGAUUCUCAUCUAGUUAUGGUAGAUUCACAUUUAACUGCUCAGAAUUACCCGUGAGAACUACCGUGUGAACGAAAACUUUUUAAGAU
rfam:Populus trichocarpa scaffold_12_contig_230, whole genome shotgun sequence.